rnacentral:rRNA from 1 species
AUGCGUAUAUUGAGAUGGAUGUGUGGCCACAUGAGGAAGGAUCGAGUCCGGAAUGAUGAUAUACGAGAUAGAGUUGGGGUAGCACCAAUUGAGGAGAAGCUUGUCCAACAUCGUUUGAGAUGGUUUGGGCAUAUUCAGCGCAGGACUCCAGAAGCUCCAGUGCAUAGCGGACGGUUAAAGCGUGCGGAGAAUGUCAAGAGAGGGCGGGGUCGACCAAAUUUGACAUGGGAGGAGUCCGUUAAAAGAGACCUAAAGGAUUGGAGUAUCGACAAAGAGCUAGCUAUGGACAGGGGUGCGUGGAAGCUUGCUAUCCAUGUGCCAGAGGCAUGA